CAGCAGUGAGGAAUAUUGGUCAAUGGGCGAGAGCCUGAACCAGCCAAGUCGCGUGAAGGAUGAAGGUUCUAUGGAUUGUAAACUUCUUUUGUCCGAGGGUAAAGUGUGGUACGCGUACCAUAUUGCAAGUAUCGGACGAAUAAGCAUCGGCUAACUCCGUGCCAGCAGCCGCGGUAAUACGGAGGAUGCGAGCGUUAUCCGGAUUUAUUGGGUUUAAAGGGUGCGUAGGCGGGCUGUUAAGUCAGUGGUGAAAGUUUGCGGCUCAACCGUAAAAUUGCCGUUGAAACUGGUAGUCUUGAGUGUAAAUGAGGUAGGCGGAAUGUGACAUGUAGCGGUGAAAUGCUUAGAUAUGUCCCAGAACUCCGAUUGCGAAGGCAGCUUACUAAGAUACAACUGACGCUGAGGCACGAAAGCGUGGGUAUCAAACAGGCUUAGA
rnacentral:rRNA from 1 species